AGGUGGGAGGCUUUGAGUAUAUGACGCCAGUUGUAUAUGAGCCAUUGUUGAGAUACCACUCUUUCUUAUUUGGGUAGCUAACCAGCUUGAGUUAUCCUCAAGUGGGACAAUGUCUGGUGGGUAGUUUGACUGGGGCGGUCGCCUCCCAAAUAAUAACGGAGGCUUACAAAGGUUGGCUCAGAACGGUUGGAAAUCGUUCGUAGAGUAUAAAGGUAUAAGCCAGCUUAACUGCAAGACAUACAAGUCAAGCAGAGACGAAAGUCGGUCUUAGUGAUCCGGUGGUUCUGUGUGGAAGGGCCAUCGCUCAAAGGAUAAAAGGUACCCCGGGGAUAACAGGCUGAUCUCCCCCAAGAGCUCACAUCGACGGGGAGGUUUGGCACCUCGAUGUCGGCUCAUCGCAUCCUGGGGCUGGAGCAGGUCCCAAGGGUAUGGCUGUUCGCCAUUUAAAGCGGUACGCGAGCUGGGUUCAGA
rnacentral:rRNA from 1 species